GCAACGGAUAUCUCGGCUCACGCAUCGAUGAAGAACGUAGCAAAAUGCGAUACUUGGUGUGAAUUGCAGAAUCCCGUGAACCAUCGAGUUUUUGAACGCAAGUUGCGCCCAAAGCCAUCCGGCAGAGGGCACGCCUGCCUGGGCGUCACGCAUCGCGUCGCU
rnacentral:rRNA from 1 species